rnacentral:rRNA from 1 species
UUUAAAGUCUGACCUGCCCAAUGAGGAGUUGAAUGGCCGCGGUAAUUUGACCGUGCAAAGGUAGCAUAAUCAUUAGUUUUUUAAUUGAAAGCUGGUAUGAAUGGUUGGACGAGAAAGCAACUGUCUCAAUUUAAUUGUAUUAGAAUUUUAUUUUUAAGUAAGAAAGCUUAAAUACGUUUAAAAGACGAGAAGACCCUAUAGAGUUUUACAUGAUUGUUAAUUUAUUAUUAUUAGAAUAUAGAUAGUGUAUAUUAUUAGUUAUGUUUUGUUGGGGCGACAGGGAAAUUGAGUUAACUUUUUUUUAGUUUUAACAUUAAUGUAUGGUUAGUUGAUCCGUUAUUGAACGAUUAUAAGAUUAAAUUACCUUAGGGAUAACAGCGUAAUUUUUCUUGAGAGUUCUAAUCGGAAGAAGAGUUUGCGACCUCGAUGUUGGAUUAAAAUUAAUUUUCGGUGCAGAAGCUGGGAUAUUAGGUCUGUUCGACCUUUGAAAUUUUACAUGAUCUGAGUUUAAACCGGCGUGAGCCAGGUUGGUUUCUAUCUUUAAAUAAAUGGAAUGCUUUAGUACGAAAGGACCAAGUAUUUACAAUAGUUGUUUAUAGUUCGAAUAUGAUUAAU